GAGCGUCGCCCUCCUUGGGCGUUUCCUCCCUAGACUCGGGCCGCCUCGCAAGAGUGCGGCCCUUUUUUUUGGUGGCG
rnacentral:sRNA from 1 species